rnacentral:rRNA from 1 species
UACAGAGGUGGCAAGCGUUGUUCGGAAUUACUGGGCGUAAAGGGCGCGUAGGUGGCCUUCUUAGUCAGACGUGAAAUCCCCAGGCUUAACCUGGGAACUGCGUCUGAUACUGGAAGGCUCGAGUUCGGGAGAGGAAUGUUGAAUUCCAGGUGUAGCGGUGAAAUGCGUAGGUAUCUGGAGGAACACCGGUGGCGAAGGCGGCAUUCUGGACCGAAACUGACGCUGAGGCGCGAAAGCCAGGGGAGCAAACGGG